rnacentral:rRNA from 1 species
UACGGAGGGUGCGAGCGUUGUCCGGAAUCACUGGGCGUAAAGGGCGCGUAGGCGGCCUGAUAAGUAGGGGGUGAAAUCCUGCGGCUUAACCGCAGGGCUGCCUUCUAAACUGUCAGGCUGGAGCACAGUAGAGGCAGGUGGAAUUCCCGGUGUAGCGGUGGAAUGCGUAGAGAUCCGGAAGAACACCAGUGGCGAAGGCGGCCUGCUGGGCAGUUGCUGACGCUGAGGCGCGACAGCGUGGGGAGCAAACAGG